rnacentral:rRNA from 1 species
AGUGAACGCUGGCGGCGUGCUUAACACAUGCAAGUCGAACGAGAACGGGUUAUAGCUUGCUAUAACUGUCAGCUAAGUGGCGCACGGGUGAGUAAUGUAUAGGUAAUAUGCCUCUUACUAAGGGAUAACAAUUGGAAACGAUUGCUAAUACCUUAUAUUCCUUUUUAUCAAAAGAUAAAAAGGGAAAGAUUUAUUGGUAAGAGAUUAGCCUGUAUUGUAUCAGUUAGUUGGUGGGGUAAUGGCCUACCAAGACGAUGACGCAUAACUGGUUUGAGAGGAUGAUCAGUCACACUGGAACUGAGACACGGUCCAGACUCCUACGGGAGGCAGCAGUGGGGAAUAUUGCACAAUGGACGAAAGUCUGAUGCAGCAACGCCGCGUGGAGGAUGACACAUUUCGGUGCGUAAACUCCUUUUAUAUAAGAAGAUAAUGACGGUAUUAUAUGAAUAAGCACCGGCUAACUCCGUGCCAGCAGCCGCCGUAA